UCUUAGAGACUGGCAUUCAGGACAGAUUUUGUCUUGUAGGCCCCGAGUAUCAUUUGCAUUUGAAAAGAAAACAGCAUGUAUCCUAAACCAAGGUCAGUUAAUCUCUGCAAUCUUUCUUCCUCCCAAUCACUGUGAAUGAGCAUCUUCUCAGGACUGGAGAGAUGAUGACUCUUGUUUCUGCCUACUAAGGACAUGACUCAGCUUCGCAGAUUUUUUUUUUUUUUUUUGGCUGUACAAUGGAACUUGGAUGCAUUUUAAAUUAGCUUUCUCUAGGAAUCAAAGAGUAACCUCUGAGGACCCCGCUUGCUCUAAGAGGACUGAGGAAAUGUCUCCCAAACCUGUCCUUGCUGCACUGACCCCAACACUCAGAAGAACCUGACAUGAUCCAGCAAUUCCACUUUUUGAAAGAAUUCGGAGAUUCCAAUCUGAUCCUCUCCCCUGUGAUCUCUGUACCCAGUCUCUGUCUGUAUACCACACACAAUAAAGCUUGAGAGUGUCAAG